CGUUUCGCCAUGGUUUGAAUCAACAUUUCAAGUGAAAUCGCUAAUUCAUCAAGCGUUCGGAAGACGCUCGGGGAAUCGCAACGCAUGAAAUGCACUUUGGCCACAUCUUUCCAGCCUGGCACCGUCACGGCCUCAGCGACAUGAUAAGUGUCACUUCUGGUUCACCAAACAAAACACAGUAGCCUGUAGCGGCGUCACCAGCAGCCUCUCGCGGCGGCCACAGACACAGACGAAGAUUGGCAGCGUGCGAGCUAUAAGAAGAUUCAGCCAUUUGGCUGACGAUGGCGUGCUGCUAGCCGGAAAGAAUUGCAGUCGGAGCCCACCUAGAAGGCUGGAAGCACGGCUUGACGAGAUGCCAAACAUGGAGAUGAAGAUCUUCGUUGCGAAGCCGAAUAAGCCAACGAGUCACAGCGGAGCACGCGCACCACGCGUGCCGUUGGGUUCCUUCAGCACCGACAGAUGGCGCUCGACUCCGCGCAUGCGUGGGAGCUGCGGCAUCGGCCAUUGCGCGAAAGGAUUAAAAAAAAACAGGAAGCUCGCAUUCGUGCAUCCACGGCUGCACAGUAUUGAAGAAAUGAAACGCUCUUCGCGGAUAGAAUGGAUUGAAAUUGCGCUA